rnacentral:tRNA from 1 species
GCCGAUGUCGCUUAAUCUGGUAGAGCGGCGGUCUCGAAAACCGCUUUCCGGAAGGAUUUUGAGGUUCAAAUCCUCACAUCGGCG